AGUGAACGCUGGCGGUAGGCCUAACACAUGCAAGUCGAACGGCAGCACAGUAAGAGCUUGCUCUUACGGGUGGCGAGUGGCGGACGGGUGAGGAAUACAUCGGAAUGUACUUUUUCGUGGGGGAUAACGUAGGGAAACUUACGCUAAUACCGCAUACGACCUACGGGUGAAAGCAGGGGAUCUUCGGACCUUGCGCGAUUGAAUGAGCCGAUGUCGGAUUAGCUAGUUGGCGGGGUAAAGGCCCACCAAGGCGACGAUCCGUAGCUGGUCUGAGAGGAUGAUCAGCCACACUGGAACUGAGACACGGUCCAGACUCCUACGGGAGGCAGCAGUGGGGAAUAUUGGACAAUGGGCGCAAGCCUGAUCCAGCCAUACCGCGUGGGUGAAGAAGGCCUUCGGGUUGUAAAGCCCUUUUGUUGGGAAAGAAAAGCAGCAGGUUAAUACCCCGCUGUUCUGACGGUACCCAAAGAAUAAGCACCGGCUAACUUCGUG
rnacentral:rRNA from 1 species